rnacentral:rRNA from 1 species
CCUACGGGGGGCUGCAGUGAGGAAUAUUGGUCAAUGGACGAGAGUCUGAACCAGCCAAGUAGCGUGAAGGAUGACUGCCCUAUGGGUUGUAAACUUCUUUUAUAUGGGAAUAAAAUGUUCCACGUGUGGGCUUUUGUAUGUACCAUAUGAAUAAGGAUCGGCUAACUCCGUGCCAGCAGCCGCGGUAAUACGGAGGAUCCGAGCGUUAUCCGGAUUUAUUGGGUUUAAAGGGAGCGUAGGUGGAUUGUUAAGUCAGUUGUGAAAGUUUGCGGCUCAACCGUAAAAUUGCAGUUGAAACUGGCAGUCUUGAGGACAGUAGAGGUGGGCGGAAUUCGUGGUGUAGCGGUGAAAUGCUUAGAUAUCACGAAGAACUCCGAUUGCGAAGGCAGCUCACUGGACUGCAACUGACACUGAGGCUCGAAAGUGUGGGUAUCAAACAGGAUUAGAUACCCUAGUAGUC